rnacentral:rRNA from 1 species
GAUGAACGCUGGCGGCGUGCCUAAUACAUGCAAGUCGAGCGAACAGAUGAGGAGCUUGCUCCUCUGACGUUAGCGGCGGACGGGUGAGUAACACGUGGAUAACCUACCUAUAAGACUGGGAUAACUUCGGGAAACCGGAGCUAAUACCGGGUAAUAUAUUGAACCGCAUGGUUCAAUAGUGAAAGACGGUUUUGCUGUCACUUAUAGAUGGAUCCGCGCCGCAUUAGCUAGUUGGUAAGGUAACGGCUUACCAAGGCAACGAUGCGUAGCCGACCUGAGAGGGUGAUCGGCCACACUGGAACUGAGACACGGUCCAGACUCCUACGGGAGGCAGCAGUAGGGAAUCUUCCGCAAUGGGCGAAAGCCUGACGGAGCAACGCCGCGUGAGUGAUGAAGGUCUUCGGAUCGUAAAACUCUGCUAUUAGGGAAGAACAAAUGUGUAAGUAACUAUGCACGUCUUGACGGUACCUAAUCAGAAAGCCACGGCUAACUACGUG